UACAGGGGGUGCAAACGUUGCUCGGAAUUAUUGGGCGUAAAGCGCGCGUAGGCGGCUACUUAAGUCGGAUGUGAAAGCCCUUGGCUCAACUGAGGAAGUGCACCCGAAACUGAGUGGCUUGAGUACGAAAGAGGGUCGCGGAAUUCCCGGUGUAGAGGUGAAAUUCGUAGAUAUCGGGAGGAACACCGGUGGCGAAGGCGGCGACCUGGGUCGAUACUGACGCUGAGGAGCGAAAGCGUGGGGAGCGAACAGG
rnacentral:rRNA from 1 species